CUUUACUACAACUUCAGAGUGGUACUAGGGAAUAAAUGUGUAGGAUAGGCGGGAGGCUUUGAAGCGAUGGCGCUAGCUGUCGUGGAGCCACCCUUGAAAUACCGCCCUUUUGUUCUCUGGUAUCUAACCGCGAUCCCUGAACCGGGAUCCGGGACCCUCUGUGGUGGGUAGUUUGACUGGGGCGGUCGCCUCCCAAAGAGUAACGGAGGCGCGCGAUGGUGGG
rnacentral:rRNA from 1 species